GCGACUUCAAGCUCCCCAAAACCCUAGUUCACAUCAAAAACCACCAAUUGAAGGAUCAAAUCGAGUCCAAAACGAAAACCGAGCAUAUAUUCGUGAUCCCCAUUGAAAGGAGAUCAUAAGUUUGUCGCCUAACGAGCUAGGUGGAGGCUUGAAAAAGAAGCGGUCAAACGAAUCAAGCACGAGAAGAAAACGUAUUCGGAUGCGAGGUGAAGAUGGGAUAAGCGGUUUGAAAGAUACGAAAGUUUUCGUGCAAAUAAACGGCAAAAUAGGAAAGCUGGAAUGCAGGGGCCACCGUAACUUACGGUGCCACCGUAAGUUACGGUGGAGCUGAAGGCUUUACGGCAGCCCCCUACUGAUUUACGGUAGGGGCAUGUCACACCAGGGGCCACCGUAACUUACGGUGCCACCGU
rnacentral:lncRNA from 1 species